UGAUAGGAUAGGCAGGGAACGAAGCAAACAAGAGUGGAAGCUUGUUCUCGCAUUCCCGAACGAAGAUGGCGACUCUUUCACUCUCAGCACUUCAUUCAAUUUCUACCCGCAAACCCAUUUUUUCCUUCGUCGUUCCAAGCUCUUCUCCGGUCGCUAUUCCAUGUCGUAACACUCGCCUCCGGAGCUACGGCGUUGCUGGCUCCUCAAGGUGUUGGAUAGCCUUAACGGCGAACUCGAACAAGUCCCGUGGAGUUACAAAGGUGAGGUCUGUGGAAGAAGAAACCCUAGUUCUGGAGCAAGAAGAAGAGCAAGCUACAACCCAACAAGAAGGAGAAGGGGAAGCAGCCUCGCCGUCGGAGCAGCAAGCCGUCUCAGUUCCCGUUUCGGCCUCGGACACUCUCACCAUGUUCUAUCAGGCAGAUGGAACAAUGAGUGAGGCGGGUAUUCCAAGGGUGGUCGACGCCUUAGAGCAAAUUCAGGGUGUUUCCAAUUUGAAGGUUAAUGUCAUUGAGGGCAUUGCUAGUGUUGAGAUAAUGGCAUCCUCUUGUACAAUGGUGACUUGCACACCAUAUCAGCUUCCUUUAUGUUCUACGGUUGGCUCCUCUAGGUGGAGUACGAAUUUCUUGAGAGUUUACAGUCCAAGGAGAGGAAUAAGUGGUUUGUUUUUUCGCCAAAAGCACUCAAAUAUGAAAACUUUUGCCAUGGAGUCAAACCAAGUAUCCUCGUUGAAACCUCACCAGGUAACUUGGGAAGAUCCUGAUGAUGGCAGUGAUAGUGAAGAUGAAGAGGAAGAGGAAGAAAAUAACUUGGAUUUUGAAAGUGACUGGGAAGAAGAGAAGAAUGAUGCUAUGGAUACUAGUGUUGGUAUACAAAAUUCACAAAGGGACACAUAUGAAGAAGAUCUUGUGAAAGAGGUUGAACAACUUUUAGGACCAGAAGAAAGAGCAAUCUUGUUUCAGUCUUCAACUCCUAACUUGGAAAAAAUAUCAACAGAGAAAUGGUUCCCGUUGCACACCCUUGCAUUAUCUGGACAAAUUCCGUUCUUGGACGAACUAUUGGAACAAGGUGUAGACAUUGAUUUUGUUGAUAAGGAUGGUCUAACUGCUCUUCACACAACAGUUAUAGGAAACAAAGUGGCUGUUAUUAGCCAUCUGUUGAGAAAAGGUGCAAGUCCUCACAUCAAAGAUAAGGAUGGUGCUACACCACUUCAUUAUGCAACUCAAGUUGGUUCCAUGCAAACAGUGAAGUUACUCAUAAAAUACAACGUUGAUCUCAAUGUAGCUGAUAAUGAGGAAUGGACACCAUUGCACAUUGCUGUACAAACUAGAAAUAGAGAUAUAGUGAAAGUUUUAUUAUUGAAUGGUGCGGAUGCCAACAGAAGAAACAAGGAUGGAAAAACACCUCUGGAUUUGAGCUUAUGUUAUGGCAAAGAUUUCAAGUCUUAUGAUCUUGCCUCUUUACUGAAGGUUAUACCAGCAAACAGAGAGACUUAAUGUGCAGGAUCUUGCUGAAACUUACAACCUUCAUCGUAAAUAUAUGAUAUAUAUAUAAGUAAUGGUAUUGGUUGGUGCUUCAAUCUUCUCAUAUAGUUUCCACCUGGGAAUUGUCUCAUGGUCAAUUGAUCUUCAUUCCCAACUUGGAUAUGGAGGAUCUGUUAUUGAAUUAUGGAUUUUGGGUUGCAGUUGAGUACAUCAUUGUCUUGAAUUUUAUGCACAUAUGGAGAGAUCUGAAGCACAUUGAGAAAGAUUCAGGGCAAGUGAAAAAUCAAAAACCAGAAUAUGGCUGACUUGUGUAAACAGGCAAAGGAACUCACGGAAAAGUUUUUGUCGUUUCAGAUCAAUCAUGUUCUCAGGAUGUGUGGAUAUUGACUUAUUUCUUUUAAAAUUAAGCACUAUAUUGGUGUUUAUCUCAAAAUUAGCAUAAUUUGACAUGCAACAUUUUUUGUAAUGUAAUAAAAACUCCUCAUUAUUCAGGAAUAUAAUUCUGCAGCUGAUGUUCAAACAAACCAAGCAGUAUAUGUUAGGGAUGGAGAAGUUGAAGAGGAUUGUAAGAAGAAAUAAUGUAAAGUCUAGAGAGAGAGAGCUACUUUUGCUCCUAAAUUGUGUCCAGAAUCAGACGUAUGUUGUGGUGGCUCAGUUAUUUGGUUGAACUUGUAUUUUUGUUCAAUUGGUACUUAGUAUCAAACUGUGUUAUAUUUUAAGUAAAUUAAUAUAGAAUUAGGCUUGCCCUUAUCCUA